rnacentral:rRNA from 1 species
AUUGAACGCUGGCGGCAGGCCUAACACAUGCAAGUCGAGCGCGAAAGUCUUCGGAUGAGUAAAGCGGCGGACGGGUGAGUAAUGCAUGGGAAUCUGCCUGGUAGUGGGGGACAACGUUUCGAAAGAGACGCUAAUACCGCAUACGCCCUACGGGGGAAAGGGGGGGAUCUUCGGACCUCUCGCUAUCAGAUGAGCCCAUGUCAGAUUAGCUAGUUGGUAGGGUAAAGGCCUACCAAGGCGACGAUCUGUAACGGGUCUGAGAGGAUGAUCAGUCACACUGGAACUGAGACACGGUCCAGACUCCUACGGGAGGCAGCAGUGGGGAAUAUUGGACAAUGGGGGCAACCCUGAUCCAGCCAUGCCGCGUGUGUGAAGAAGGCCCUAGGGUUGUAAAGCACUUUCAGUGGGGAGAAAGGUUGUUCAGUUAAUACCUGAAUGAAUUGAUGUUACCCACAGAAGAAGCACCGGCUAACUCCGUGCCAGCCGCCGCCGUAA